AAAGAAUACAACUGUCUGGUGAAAGGCUUGACCGUAUCAAAGUCCAGUGAUGUCGGGGUACGCGGCCUUUCCAUGUCUGGGGAUUGCAUUUUAGCCGACACUAACAAGGGAGAGAAGUGAAGAUCUGCACCUGCAGUGAGGUGUUCCCCUUUAAUUGCUGUUUAAUUAAUUUAACGGACAAUAAAAAGGGAGAAAACUGAAGAUUUGCACCAGCAAAGAGCACCAGCCUUGAUAUAGAGUUGGUACGGCAACGACACAAGUCGGGCCCGCUGGAGCCCCAGUCCAGCACGACCCCUCCCCUGACCCCUAGCUCCUCCCAUUUGACCUCCGGCAUCAAAGAGUCAGCAUUGUUUAACAAUUCCAUCCCAUAGCAAUUUCUGAGCACAUAGAGUGUUUGCACAUUUUUCUGAACAAGCGCAAUGUCCGUGUUGAGUCUGCAUUUGAGCCCUGAUUGGUUUGAUAGACUCAAGUGCCGGAGGUGGUAGAAGUGUUACAGACAUAAGAAGUUAUUGCAGCAGUUAUGGUAACACUAACAGUCAGCUCUCGCUGUUUGACAUUAAAUUGAAUAUUACGAAAAAAUACAAAGCUGGAUAACUCAUUCCAUUCUUUUUGGGACAAACAGACCUGCAGCAAGGAACAGGAGAAAAUCACGGGAAUGUUUGAAGAGUUUAAGUCAGAAGCGUAAGCUUUCCACCGGGGAUACUCAUGGAUGGUCUAAACUUAAGGGACAGUCCAGGUUUGUCCUCUCAGGUGUCCAAACUGUCCAAAGAGAAUUCAUUUAUUUUUGAAGCAGUUGCUAAAAAAGAAAGGCAGUACCAACUUCGUUGUGAAGAGUCAAGCAUGGUACAUCCCUGGGGCAUGCCUCAGGUGGGAAUUCCAUCUGCAACAAGGUGCUAAAGGUGAACCCAUCAGAGUGUGUUACUAACCACUUCAGCCUCACAUUGAUUCGACGAUAAAGAAGGCGUUGAAAAAUGACAGCAGUUUUGAUGUGUCAUCCAGUUUGCUCUUCGACUCUCAACCCAACGUUAGUUAGAACGCAAACUCAGCAAUUAGCGUUAUCAGCGAGGCUCGAAGGUCAUCUCUGCUUCUUAAGCUUCAGAUAAAAUUAUAAGCCAACAAGACGAACAUCGUUGAAUCAUUUCGCACAUAUACUAAAACUCGCUUAAGAAAUUCAGCACGUCACUUAUGAACAUCUUCUCGCAAGGCGGCUACAUCAGCACUUCCAAUAGCUGAGCCUUGGUGAGUUCCACUCCUGUCCCGAUGAGUCGCUCGAGGUGAAACAAUCUGAUCCACAGAUAGAGCAGACGCUGAGUGACUCGUCUGUUAACGUGACUGACCUCCAUAUGUUGCUCUCUAAUAUUGUGCCUGAGGAGCAGUGUUGGCCUACAUUCCCUGUUCAGGGUGGUGACUUUGGCGUCAAGACUCACACAAUCUCUGUCUAUGGCCCUGUCGCAGCAGCAGCAGCAACAA